GGGGGUGUAGCUCAGUGAUAGAGCAUUUGACUGCAAAAAGCUUUCUUUCAUGCCUGAGGCUCUGAGGUCCCAGGUUCAAUCCUCAGCACCACCG
rnacentral:tRNA from 1 species